GAGGGAUGCAAAUAGGGUAUUGAAAUCAUUGGCCACAUGAUCAUUAAAGAAGACUUGAAAUUCGGGCAUUUCAGAUUUGAGACCUUGCGCCAGGUACUUCCUUUCUACAGCUUCCACUAUAUGUUGCAUUGCUAUGAAGGUAUUUGGCCCAACUGAACAUCCCAAAUCUGCAAGACGAAACGGGUUUGAAGAGAAGCACUUUACAUCAAGCUUCUUAGCAAUUGCCUCUUCAAUCGUAAUCCUCGACGCAUUUGUAGCUUGUCUCUACAAAACGUAUAGUCCACCAUGUGUCUGUCAUUACUUAAUGUCAGGGGUGAUAUUCCCAUAAAACAAGCAAUUUUUAAGAGGCGUAUGUUCAACCAUAAUUGAAGUGGAAUAAGGGACAAAGAAGAAACCCAGGCAUGUAUGCACUGAAGGGGUAGUUGUGUUUGUUCCUCAAACUUGAAUCAGGUCAUCCAUGAAAUAUGUGAGGUAGAGAAAAUAUAUGAAGGGAUAACAAGAAGUAUAAAAACAGUCAAAAUACCUGUAAAUGGGAGUUGUUGAGGUAGCUGUGAGGUCCAUCCCCUCCGUUCAUCGGAAAAGAUUGUUGCAUAGUGGCUGUGUUGUUGUUGCUCAUCUCUCACUGCCUAAGUGAGCCAUUUACUUCUGAUGGACUCUCCAUAAAGACAAUGGUGAGGGAGGGUCUCAUGGACUUUUUUCCCUCAUUGACAAUGGCCUCUGACUAGGUCUAGCCGGCCAUCUGUAUUGGCUCAUUAUGCCAUUGAUGUUUUGUCCUUCAUACCAUUUUUUAAUCUUCUUUAAAACUUUUAAUUAUUUUUUUAUAAAUCUUAUUGACUAGCCAACAAAUUUAGUUUUGCAAGCACUACUUUGACUGAGAAUUGUGACGUGUGAUCCACCCAUCAUUCAUUCAGAGCACAUGGAACAUUAUCCUUUUCACAUUUUGAUUAAAUUAUAGUUGUAGAGGCAUGAGGUUACAUCUUAACACCUCAUCUAAGGGCAUCCCAACAAUAUCAGUUAGGGUAGAAGAGUCCAUUUGGAAUCAAAGAAGGUAGAGUCAUUCCUGACAUAUCAACUCAUUAUUCAUUGAAGAAGGUAGAGUCAUUCAUGACGUAUCACCUCAUUAUUUAUUGAAGAAGUUUUGCUUCUUCAACUAAAUAUUUAUAAAUCUAGUAGGAACAAAAAGUCAAAAGAGGGGCAAAGUAAUGACUUCACUCGGAGAUAAUAUGCAACAAUACAAAAUCAAAUCUAAAGUUACAAAAGCAACAUAUAAAUGAUCAAUCUUGAACCAUUUGUCUAUCUCUUCUAUUCCGGAUUCCUUUAAUUUAUGAGCCUCGACAUCCUUUUGGAUUUGAAUAGAAAACAAAAACAAAGACACAAAGUUAGAAGGGAAAAAAAAUAUAUAUUGUCAAGUUAUUUAUAAGUGAAAUGAAUUUAAAGUCGGAUAUAAAAUAAUUUAUUGAUUUAAUUUUUUUUUCCUUAAUUUUCUUCACUCAUGCUUUUUUUUCUUUGUUUUUGUUCCUUCGCAUUUUCCUUCAAAUUUUCUCUCAUCCUAACAUAACCUAAAACAUUUAUGUAUGCAGAACCGAAUAAUAAGAGAUGACUGAACCCCUACACGACUCUUAAACCCUAAGACCCCAAUUACCAGACUCAACAACCAACAACCAUACUUCAAUCUUGAUCCUAGUUCAUAAAAGCAGUAUAUAAUGAAACAACCCAUUCCCAUGUGAGAGGAAAAAUAUCAUUCAUGUGGGAUCCAUCAUCCAUGCUGUGUUUAUGGCAAACUGAUCCACAUCAACAAGGAUAAAAAGUGUAUUAGAAGGUCUCUACAUCUGUCAUCGCUGGAUUAACACAAAUUCAGUCAUGGGUUGCAUUUGGGUUAAGGAAUUUGCCAUCCUAUGUGUUUUCUCCCUCCAACAUGUCCCCCCAUCCUUGCAAGCCUGACGCAUUGGAAAAGGAGUUCAGUUCUUUCUUUUAAGUGAAGUAUGGCUAUAUGUUCAUAGGAACAUACCCCUACACCUUAGCACUUUACGACUGUGUUUAGUAUCACGCUAUUUCCUGCAAGUUGUGUUUUUGGAUUUCAUGAAUAUGUGGAGGGCAUUUCCAAAGCCCAGAGGACAACUUAUCAUCUAUUUCCACAGCCACAAGUUUUUCUUCUGAUUAUCCGUGAGCAUAUCCAUAACCAUUCACAUAUGUUAACCAAGACAAUUAUUGUAAAUAUAUAGAGUUGAUACCCAAAUCUGGGUCAUUAUUUAUGAUCCACUGGAUCUUCACGACAAUAUAUAUUGAUAUCCUGAAACUAGUCUCAGAGAAGGGACUAAGAAAACUAGCAGGAAAAAUAGUUUAUGAUCAUAUUCAAACAGUAUCAUUUACGCCUCAGAACAACAAACAAUAGAGUUCCUUCUUUGUUGCCUGAUUCCAGCUGGUGGGAGGACUCCAUAAUUUGCUUGGAAAGCCUAUCAAACAGUUGAUCAAUAAUCCCACUUCCAAAAUGUUGGGUAAAAAUUCCCUCCAGGCCAGCUCUAAGGCACAUUGCACAUUCCUUUCCAUUGAUCGGGCCAACAAGUUUUGAUCUAGAGUCCACUAACUCCAUUCUCUCAAUGGUUAAACACUCAUUUCUGUCCACCAUCUCUGUCAUUUGCUCGGGAGAGGCUACAUGAAUAGGCAAGUUGAAGGAAUCCACUUGAGCUUCACUAAUUAAUCCCUGCAUUCAACAUUGGCAAUGUUGGCAUCAUCUCUUGAAUUUGAUUCGGGCUUGUCUGUAAAACAACAUAAAACUACCAGACAAGCAAAAAUUCAACAAUUAUAAUUAUAGUUUGUUUUUUUUCCCCUCUCUGCCCUAAUACUGGACUUCAUGUAUUAGGUUCCAUGAGGGUAUAUUGGUCAUUUUACAUGAUUAGCCUAGUGUUUCCUACGACCCAACCUGAAUUGGGCCAUGGGAUGAGCAUAUGCCUAGGGUAAGUGUGCCAGGCUCCCUCAGCCCCAACAAAAAAUUUUCCUGUUUUAUUUCUAAAAUAUACUAAUAUUUCCCAAGUUCCACAUUAAUUUUCUAUGCGGAAUGUUACUUAGCUAUGAUCAGAGCCCUCUCAACUAUUAGAUAUUAAAGUCACUUUUCUAAUUCCAAAAUAGAAUUUCAUCCGCCUUACCUCCUUGGCCAUAUCCAUGAGGCUUGCUCCCAAAAGAUCGAACAUAACACAAUAUGGGUUUUGAGAAGCAGGGAUCCCAUUUGGGAGAGCUGGAAUGAGAAACACUAUCAUCCCUCCAACCACAAGUUCCUUAGCUCUGGCACUCAGAAAGAUCUCCAUGUCACGCUCAAAUUGAGCCGCAUAAGCAUGGCUUACUUCUUCUGGGCCACUUGUGUAGUGAAUCCUUCCCCUGUUCCAUGCAGGGGAGUUUUUGUCCAACAACUCUUCAGGGACCUUUGAGAGCCAGUGGAGUGCAUGAGAGGAAAACAUGAAAUGGAUAGAUGACUCCGGGAAUAACCGGCCAUGGAAAGAACCCGGGACGCCACAGGCAAAGUACCGCCUCUCAGUUGGGAGGGAUGCAAAUAGGGUAUUGAAAUCAUUACCCACAUGAUCAUUAAAGAAGACUUGAAAUUCGGGCAUCUCAGAUUUGAGACCUUGUGCCAGGUACUUCCUUUCUACAGCUUCCACUAUAUGUUGCAUUGCUAUGAAGGUAUUUGGCCCAACUGAACAUCCCAAAUCUGCAAGACGAAACGGGUUUGAAGAGAAGCACAUUACAUCAAGCUUCUUAGCAAUUGCCUCUUCAAUCAUAGUUCUCGACACAUUAAUAUCUUGUCUCUACAAAACAAUAGUCCACCAUUCGCUUUGUUAUUAAUGUCAGGGAUGAUAUUCCCUAAACCAAGCAAUUUUUAAUCACGUAAUAUAAUCCAGGGUGAGCAAAACGGAGAUCCAUGAAAUCUGUAAGAUAGAGAAAAUUUAUGAAGAGGCUGCAACGGCUACAAAAGCAGUUAAAAUACCUGAAAAUGGGAGUUGUUGCGGUAGCUAUGAGGUCCAUCCCCUCCGUUCAUCAGAAAAGAUUGUUGCAUUGUGGCUGCGUCGUCGUUGCUUAUAACUCUCUCUGUCUGUGGAGAGCCUAGGUGAGCCGUGUGCUUUAUUUGAUGGACGCUCUAUAUAGACAUCUCAUAAACAAUGGCCUUCUGACACGUGUACCAAUUUCAGGCCUUUCCUUAGGGUCAAGUCGCCCUUCAUUAUUUACUUGUCCUAGCAUGUGUUUUAUCCUUAUUGACUGGUAUAAAUUUAAAAUGGCCUUCGGACACGUGUACCAAUUUCAUGCCUUUCCUUAGGGUCAAGCCGGCCUUCAUUAUUUACUUGUCCUAGCAUAUGUUUUAUCCUUAUUGACUGGUAUAAAUUUGGUCGGGCAAGUAGUAACUUGACUGGAAAUUGUGAUAUGUGAUAAUAUCCCAGCAUUCAAAAGCACACGGAACAACUUAUUUUAUCUUUAAUAAAAACCAUCUCUUUAUUUAAAAUAACAUCUUUAAUAAAAUUGAUAUUUAUAAAAUAUUAGGACUGCUUGCCUAUUUUUUUUUUUAAUUGGGUCUACAUCUUAAUUAUUAUUAUUUUUUCUUUUCUUUCUUUUUCUUCUUCCCCACUUUUUCCCAUCCCACUCCUUCCCCUCCCCACCCCACCCCACCCCACCCCACCCCACCACCACUUACCUUCAUUUCUAGCCCCCUUUUCCACUUCCUCUGUUUUUUUCCUCUCUCUCUCCCCAUCCCAUCCCACCACCACUUACUUUCAUUUCCAACCCCCUUUUCCUCUCUCUCUCUUUCCCUCUCUCUCUUGGAAUGAGCUUAAAGUCAGAUAUCUUAAAAUAACAUCUUUAAUAAAAUUGAUAUUUAUAAAAUAUUAGGACUGCUUACCUAUUUUUUUUUUUAAUUGGGUCUACAUCUUAAUUAUUAUUAUUUUUUCUUUUCUUUCUUUUUCUUCUUCCCCACUUUUUCCCAUCCCACCCCACCCCACCCCACCCCACCACACCACCACUUACCUUCAUUUCUAGCCCCCUUUUCCACUUCCUCUGUUUUUUUCCUCUCUCUCUCCCCAUCCCAUCCCACCACCACUUACUUUCAUUUCCAACCCCCUUUUCCUCUCUCUCUCUUUCCCUCUCUCUCUUGGAAUGAGCUUAAAGUCAGAUAUCUCAAGAGUGAUGGAGCAAGGGUUUUCCAACUUGAGAAAUCUUUGAGUUGCAUCAAUUAAGGUGCUUUGUCUAUUAUUGAAUAUUUCAGUUCCUUUAAGACCCUUUGGGAUGAGUACAUUAGCUAUAGGCCAUUUCCAACAUGCGCUUGUGGCAAAAUGGCAACAUGCACUUGUGAACUUUUCAACUUUUCAACUUUCUACAAAUCAGACAGCAAUUUGAUUAUGUACUCAAAUUCUUGGUGGGGCUAAAUGAUUCUUAUGCCUCUAUCAGAAGCCAAUUGCUGCUAAUGGUUCCAUUACCAAACAUGUCCAAGGUUUUCUCUCUACUACUUCAAGAAGAAAGUCAGAGGCAACUCACAAAUUCUGCUACAUAUAAUGAGACUCAUGCUUUGAUUGCAAGGCAAUCCAAUCAGGAGAAUUACCAGCCACAAUCUUUCAAGGACAAACCAAAGAAAUUUGCCCUACACUAUACUCAUUGUGGCAAUAAUGGUCACACAAUGGACAAAUGUUUUCAACUUCAUGGUUAUCCCCCUAGCUGGAAUGGACCAAAGGGAAAAAGAAAUAUGGCUUCUGCUUAUGCUACCAUUACUACUCCAGAGGUCCCCAAUCAAAAUAGCAAUGAGCAACAAAAGUUUUGUUUCACUCCAGAGGAAUUUCAUAAACUAAUGGCGCUUGCAAAUUCAGUUCAACCCAAUUCUUCCAAUCAGAAUAAUGUCCAACCAGUUGUUAACCUUGUCACCACCUCUUACUUUUCUGGUAAAGUUCAACCUACACUUAAACCAAUUUUUUUUUUCUUGUACUUCUGUUACUUCUAAGCCAAAUUCCACUUCAUAUUGGCUUCUUGAUACGGGUGCAACAGACCAUAUGAUUUGUUCACCACUUUUAUACCAUUUAUACCUAAACCAAUUAAUGCAUCCAUCAAUCUUCCUAAUGGUACUACAGUUCCAACCACAUACAUUGGUACUGUAUGUCUCUCAGAUUCCUUAUUUUUACAUAAUGUCUUGUGUGUUCCUCAUUUUUCAUUCAAUCUAUUAUCCGUUUCCAAACUCACUAAACAAUCUAAUCUUUUUCUUACCUUUACUGCUUCUCAUUGCCUUUUACAGGACCAGUCAAUGGAGAAGAUGAUUAGGAUUGCUCUUGAAAAAGAAGGACUUUACCAUCUGAUUCCAGCUUCAUCACAAGCUAAAAUCUGUAAUUCAUUUCAGUUUAAUUAUGCUCAUCUUGCUUUGUCCUCUAUUCACAAACACUUAGAUAUAUGGCAUUGUAGAUUAGAACAUGUAUCUAGUUCAAGAUUCCAUUCCCUCAAACAGAUUGACUUUGCUAUCACUAUUGAUCAUACAAAUGUUUGUGACAUAUGUCCUUUAGCAAAGCAAAGAAGGCUUCCUUUUUUUUGUAUCACAAAAUAAUUCUAAUAAAAGUUUUGUGAUCGCUCAGAUUUUGUCGUUUAUUGGAUCAAAACAAAAUUUAUAACCUAAUUCAUUAUUCUAUGGCAAUUUGUACCCGAUCAAAAAUGUGGUUUUAGUACAAACUACUGUAGUAUAGUGGUAUUUAGGUAUCGUCCACAAGAAUGGAUUAUUCUCGGUAAUUAAGGCUUGAACGAGAUGAUAAGAAAUGAUGGUGAUCAAGUGAAAUUUACUUGAAAUUGCAUGAUAAAAUCUCUAGAUAGCAAUGUAUUCAAAUUGAAUUGAAAAUGAAGUGUAAAAGAGAAGAAAAUUAAUAAGAUGUGAGAUUCUCGGAGUUAGGAUUUUCUAGAGAGCAAUUUCCAUGGUGAAUAGGUGUUAAGAUCAAAUUUUCAUCAAGUUAGAUUGAAAACCUAAAUUUUCAUCUAAACCGAUUUUUGAUUUAGCUUUAGAUCUAGAUCUAAUUUCUCUUCAAAUUAGGUAAUCUAAUCCAAGAGAUCAAUUUGAAUCAUAUAUUCAAUUCAUCUUAAAUUAUCUUCCAAUGAUUCAUACUAUGCAACUAUUCAAUUUCAUCAAAUCUAGCAUUAAGAAUUUGAUGAAUCUACCUAGCUUGCAUUGUAGUAGUCAUCCAAGACAAUUUGAAGAGAAAAAUCCCCAAAUUUCAAUUAAUCAAUCAAUUGGAUCAAAUUACCUAUGCAAUUCAAGCUCAAUUCUCUAAUUCACCAUAGAUCUUGCUUCUAGAUCCUCCGUCCUCCAAGAAAAAACGAGAUUUAGCCACUCAUGCUUGGAGAUUUGAUCUCACAAGACAUGUUUGACUACCGAGAAAAUAAGAGAAACUGAAGGAAAGUGGAGAAUUAUAUAGAGAGAAGAAGUAUGAAAAGUUCUACAAUUAGAAAAUGAAUCAAAAAGUCCCUAAAUGAGUCAAUCCCGUUUCUAUUUAUAGGCCCAGGUUAAAAGGACACUUGGCAACAUUUUAGAGGUCUUCCGGAUGCUUCUUCAUCAAGGAAUCUGGAGAAAAUGCAUUUUCGCACGAGCCCCUAGAAAUCUCGCAUGAUGGUGUGAAGUGGAGAAUCCAUCAGCUUCAAUUUCGUUCUUCUGGAGCGUUUCGCAUGACUGUGUGAAAAUUUCGCAUGGUCAUGCGAAAUCACUUUUUCACAAUUUCCUUAUGUGCUACAGCCACAACCUUUCUGUUUCAUUUCGCAUGGUCAUGCAAAAUCGAAAAUCAUGCUAUUCCGGAUCCUCUUUGCAAUUUUUCUCAUUUCUUCAUGUUUAAUCCAUCUCCACCACCUUCAAUUAAGCUCCAAAGCUUGGUCCAAGUGCAUUUCCUCUUCCUCUUCAUCUACAUUAUGUACCCUCCUCCAUUCCAUUUCCAUUUGUCACUCCAUGCUUCAAAUAUCACCUUAAAAUAUCUCCAAAACACAACAAAGAACCAUUAGUAUCUCUUGGAAGGGUAGCAAUGUAUUACUUGGGCAUAUUAGGCAUAAUUACUACUCAAAAUGUGUGAAACUCAUGAAAGUUAGUAUCUAAAAUGUGUGGUUUUUGAGUAGUAAUCAUUUUGAUUUGAUCCAUUGUGAUAUAUGGGGUCCUUUUGGCACUACUUCUUAUUCUGGUUUUCGAUAUUUUUUUAACAAUAGCCGAUGACUACACAAGGUGUACUUGGGUAUACAUGAUUAAAGCUAAAUCAGAAGUGCCAUCUUUAAUCAAAACUUUCUGUAAUGGUAGCAAACCAAUUUUCUUCUUCUGUUAAAGCUAUAAGGUCUGAUAAUGGACCAAAAUUCUUACUCACAAAAUUCUAUCAUAAAUAUGGUAUUUUGCAUUAGAGAAGUUGUGUCGAAACUCCUCAACAAAAUGGUGUUGUGGAGAGAAAACUUCAACAUCUACUAAGCACUGCUAGAGCCUUAAUGUUUCAAGCAAAUCUACCAUUAAUUUUUUGGAGUGACUGUGUGCUUACUGCUGCCCACAUAAUCAAUAGAAUUCCCACUCCUCUACUUCAAAAUAAAACCCCUUUUGAAAUGUUUUUUAACAAAACACCUAACCUUUCUCAUUUAAGAGUUUUUGGCUGUCUUUGUUUUGCAUCCACUUUAACUAGUCACAGACAAAAAUUUGAUUCACGAGCCACAAAGUGCAUCUUCCUAGGAUAUCCUUAUGAUAUUAAGGGUUAUAAACUCAUGGAUCUAAACAACAAUAAGAUCCUUGUUUCUCGGAAUGUCAUAUUCCAUGAAACAUUUUUUCCUUUCCAAGUGUUGCCCCAACAUCUUGAAACUCAUUCAUUUAUGUUUCCUCUUUCACAAUCAUUUUCAGAUUCACCUUCUACCACCCCCUUCUUCAAUUCCUAUCAUAAUGUGUGACCUGCAUCACCACCUAAUAAUUCUCCUUUUCUCUCUGAACCUUUUGCCCUUCUUGAAUCCGACUCACCUACAUGUCCCUCUCCAUCCCAUCUGGAUUCAACUGACCCUGAAGUCCUACAGCUCAGAAAAUCAACCAGAAUUAAACAAAAACCUUCAUAUCUGCAGGACUAUUAUUAUGGUAAUGUCUCUUCUUCUCAAACUGCAACUCAGACAUCUACUUCAACUAACUGGUCUCCCAUUAAAGGUAAUUUCUAUUCUCUUCACCCUUUUCUUUCUACUAGUAGACUGUCUACGUCCCAUAAAACUUUUCUCACCUUUAUCACAAACUCUCCAGAACCCAAAUCAUACACCCAAGCUUCUCGCCUCCUUGAAUGGCAAGCUGUCAUGCAACAUGAACUUACUGCUUUGGAGUUAAAUAAAACUUAGGAACUUGUUACUCUUCCUAAAAAUAAAAGGACUAUUGGUUGUAAAUGGGUAUUCAAAGUGAAAUAUAAAGCUGAUGGAACUAUAGAAAGACAUAAAGCUAGAUUGGUGGCAAAAGGGUAUACUAAGCAAGAAUGCCUCGAUUUAUUUGAUACUUUCUCUCAUGUGGCCAAGAUUACAUCCAUUCGCUUACUACUUGCUGUGGCUACCGUCAAACAGUGGCAUCUUCAUCAACUAAAUGUCAAUAAUGCAUUUUUGCAUGGUGAUUUACAUGAAGAGGUAUACAUGGAAUUGCCUCCUGGGUUGGCUGUCCAAGGUGAACAGAAAGUUUGUCGUCUUUUAAAGAGCCUUUAUGGCUUGAAGCAAGCUUCCAGGCAAUGGUAUGCCAAACUAUCCCAGGCCCUUCUUUCCUAUGGAUUUGUUCAAGGUAACUCUGAUUGUUCUCUAUUCAUUAAGAAAUCUGAAAGUUCUUUUAUGGCCUUAUUAGUCUAUGUGGAUGAUGUGCUAUUGGCAAGUGAUAGCAUUCUGGAAAUUGAAAGGUUGAAGACCUUUUUAGAUGCCAAGUUCACUAUUAAAGACUUAGGCCCACUGAAAUACUUUCUUGGCUUGGAAGUUGCAAGGUCCAAGACUAGUAUCUUCUUAUGCCAACGAAACUAUAUACUUGACAUACUUGAAGACACUGGUUUAACUAGAUCCAAACCUAUUGCCUUCCCUAUGGAAUCUACCCUCAAGUUAUCAGCAAAUGAUACCAAUUUCUAUGAAGAUCCAUCAGGUUACCGAAGACUCAUUGGCAGAUUAUUUUACUUAACUCUCACUAAGCCCGACUUAGCCUAUUCUGUAAAAGUACUCAGCCAAUUUUUAGCAAAACCUGCUGUUAGUCACCAUCAAGCAGGCAUUCGAGUACUGAGGUAUCUAAAGGCCAUACUAGGGCAAGGUCUCUUUUUUCUUUCUUUCUCAGAUUUUCAAUUAAAGGGUUUUUCCUAUAGUGAUUGGGCAGGCUGUGUCGAUACUAGAAGAAGUGUCACUGGUUUUGCAAUUUUUCUUGGCAACUCAUUGAUUUCAUGGAAAUCAAAGAAACAAGUUACAGUUAGUCGAUCCUCUACAGAGGUAGAGUACCAAGCCCUUGCAACUGCCACCUGUGAAAUUCAAUGGCUUUUUAAUGCCUUGCAAGACCUGGAUAUCAAACAUUCACAGUCAGCUUUGCUAUAUACUGACAGUAAAUCAACAAUGCCCAUCACCACAAAUCCAGUUCAACAUGAGAGAACAAAACAUAUCUAGAUUGAUUGCCAUCUUAUUCGCGAAAAAUUGCAGCAGCAUGUUAUAAAGCUCUUCCAUAUUCCAUUGCGAUUAUAGCUUGCAGAUAUCUUUACAAAGCCUCUCGGUUCUCUACCUUUUCAUCAUACUCUUUGCAAGAUGAACAUCAUUAACAUCCAUGUUCAUCUUGAGGGGGGGUGUUGGAGUGUUACAUCUCAUAUUGAAAGCAUGGAAUUAAAAAGGAAAGAAGACUUAAAAUAGAAAGCAAGUUAGAUGAGAAGAGUUAGUUAGAAGAGUUGUUAUUUCAAAUUAUUCUUUACUUUGUUAUUGUGUCAUUGAUGUAUUAUAAAUAGGACUCAAGUCUGAUGUAGUUUUUAAAUUUUUUCAGUUUCUGCAAUUCAUUUUCCUUUGCGUCCUCUAUUUCUUGGUGUUUUUCAUCAGUUUCAAAUUCUUCUGAUUCUCAACAACAAUUAUUGUAAAUAUAUAGAGUUGAUACCCAAAUCUGGGUCAUUAUUUAUGAUCCACUGGAUCUUCACGACAAUAUAUAUUGAUAUCCUGAAACUAGUCUCAGAGAAGGGACUCAGAAAACUAGCAGGAAAAGUAGUUUAUGAUCAUCUUCAAACAGUAUCAUUUACGCCUCAGAACAACAAACAAUAGAAUUCCUUCUUUGUUGCCUGAUUCCAGCUGGUGGGAGGACUCCAUAAUUUUCUUGGAAAAACUAUCAAACAGUUGAUCAAUAAUCCCACUUCCAAAAUGUUGGGCAAAAAUUCCCUCCAAGCCAGCUCUAAGGUACAUUGCAUAUUCCUUUCCAUUGAUCGGGCCAACAAGUUUUGAUCUAGAGUUCACUAACUCCAUUCUCUCAAUGGUUAAACACUCAUUUCUUUCCACCAGCUCUGUCAUUUGCUCGGGAGAGGCCAGAUGAAUAGGCAAGUUGAAGGAAUCCACUUGAGCUUCACUAAUUAAUCCCUGCAUUCAACAUUGGCAAUUUUGGCAUCAUCUCUUGAAUUUGAUUCGGGCUUGUCUGUAAAACAACAUAAAACUACCAGACAAGCAAAAAUUCAACAAUUAUAAUUAUAGUUUGUUUUUUUCCCCUCUCUGCCCUAAUACUGGGCUUCAUGUAUGAGGUUCCAUGAGGGUAUAUUGGUCAUUUUACAUGAUUAGCCUAGCGUUUCCUACGACCCAACCUGAAUUGGGCCAUGGGAUGAGCAUAUGCCUAGGGUAAGUGUGCCAGGCUCCCUCAGCCCCAACAAAAAAUUUCCCUGUUUUAUUUCCAAAAUAUACUAAUAUUUCCCAAGUUCCACAUUAAUUUUCUAUGCGGAAUGUUACUUAGCUAUGAUCAGAGCCCUCUCAACUAUUAGAUGUUAAAUUCACUUUUCUAAUUCCAAAAUAGAAUAUCAUCCGCCUUACCUCCUUGGCCAUGUCCAUGAGGCAUGAUCCCAGAAGAUCGAACAUAAUACCAUAUGGGUUUUGAGAAGCAGGGAUCCCAUUUGGGAGAGCUAGAAUGAGAAACACUAUCAUCCCUCCAACCACAAGUUCCUUAGCUCUGGCACUCAGAAAGAUCUCCAUGUCAUGCUCAAAUUGAGCUGCAUAAGCAUGGCUUACUUCUUCUGGGCCACUUGUGUAGUGAAUCCUUCCCCUGUUCCAUGCAGGGGAGUUUUUGUCCAACAACUCUUCAGGCACCUUUGAGAGCCAGUGGAGUGCAUGAGAGGAAAACAUGAAAUGGAUAGAUGACUCCGGGAAUAACCGGCCAUGGAAAGAACCCGGGACGCCACAGGCAAAGUACCGCCUCUCAGUUGGGAGGGAUGCAAAUAGGGUAUUGAAAUCAUUACCCACAUGAUCAUUAAAGAAGACUUGAAAUUCGGGCAUCUCAGAUUUGAGACCUUGCACCAGGUACCUCCUUUCUACAGCUUCCACUAUAUGUUGCAUUGCUAUGAAGGUAUUUGGCCCAACUGAACAUCCCAAAUUUGCAAGACGAAACGGGUUUGAAGAGAAGCACUUUACAUCAAGCUUCUUAGCAAUUGCCUCUUCAAUCAUAGUUCUCGACACAUUCAUAUCUUGUCUC
rnacentral:lncRNA from 1 species